UCCCUUAUAGCUCAGUUGGUAAAGAAUCUGCCUCCAGUGCAGGAAACCCGGGUUCGAUCCCUGGGUUGGGAA
rnacentral:tRNA from 1 species